rnacentral:snRNA from 1 species
AUACUUACCUGGCAGGGGAGAUAUCAUGAUAAGGAAGGCAGUUUUCCUAGGGCAAGUCUGAUUCAUUGCACAUGGUAUUUGCACUGGGUAUCUGCUAACCCAUGUGAUUCCCCACAUGAAGGGAACUCAACUACAUAAUUUGUUUUGGUGUGUGGGGGUGUAUACAUGUUUUCCGCCA